rnacentral:rRNA from 1 species
UACGAAGGGUGCAAGCGUUAAUCGGAAUUACUGGGCGUAAAGCGCGCGGGGAUGGUUCAGUAAGUUGGAUGUGAAAUCCCCGGGCUCAACCUGGGAACUGCAUCCAAAACUGCUGAGCUAGAGUACGGUAGAGGGUGGUGGAAUUUCCUGUGUAGCGGUGAAAUGCGUAGAUAUAGGAAGGAACACCAGUGGCGAAGGCGACCACCUGGACUGAUACUGACACUGAGGUGCGAAA